rnacentral:rRNA from 1 species
GUAAAAAGUAGAAUAAUAGAUUUGAAAUAUUUAUUAUAUAGAUUUAAAGAGAUAAUCAUGGAGUAUAAAAAUUAAAUUUAAUAAAUUUAAUAUAACUAUUAAUAGAAUUAGGUUACUAAUAAAUUAAUAACAAUUAAUUUUAAAACCUAAAGGUAAACCUUUAUAUUAAUAAUGUUUUUUUUUUAUUUUUAUAAUUAAGAAUAAUUAUUAAUAAUAAUAAACUAAGUGAACUGAAACAUCUAAGUAACUUAAGGAUAAUAAAUCAACAGAGAUAUUAUGAGUAUUGGUGAGAGAAAAUAAUAAAGGUCUAAUAAGUAUUAUGUGAAAAAAAUGUAAGAAAAUAGGAUAACAAAUUCUAAGACUAAAUACUAUUAAUAAGUAUAGUAAGUACCGUAAGGGAAAGUAUGAAAAUGAUUAUUUUAUAAGCAAUCAUGAAUAUAUUAUAUUAUAUUAAUGAUGUACCUUUUGUAUAAUGGGUCAGCAAGUAAUUAAUAUUAGUAAAACAAUAAGUUAUAAAUAAAUAGAAUAAUAUAUAUAUAUAAAAAAAUAUAUUAAAAUAUUUAAUUAAUAUUAAUUGACCCGAAAGCAAACGAUCUAACUAUGAUAAGAUGGAUAAACGAUCGAACAGGUUGAUGUUGCAAUAUCAUCUGAUUAAUUGUGGUUAGUAGUGAAAGACAAAUCUGGUUUGCAGAUAGCUGGUUUUCUAUGAAAUAUAUGUAAGUAUAGCCUUUAUAAAUAAUAAUUAUUAUAUAAUAUUAUAUAAAUAUUAUAUAAAGAAUGGUACAGCAAUUAAUAUAUAUUAGGGAACUAUUAAAGUUUUAUUAAUAAUAUUAAAUCUCGAAAUAUUUAAUUAUAUAUAAUAAAGAGUCAGAUUAUGUGCGAUAAGGUAAAUAAUCUAAAGGGAAACAGCCCAGAUUAAGAUAUAAAGUUCCUAAUAAAUAAUAAGUGAAAUAAAUAUUAAAAUAUUAUAAUAUAAUCAGUUAAUGGGUUUGACAAUAACCAUUUUUUAAUGAACAUGUAACAAUGCACUGAUUUAUAAUAAAUAAAAAAAAUAAUAUUUAAAAUCAAAUAUAUAUAUAUUUGUUAAUAGAUAAUAUACGGAUCUUAAUAAUAAGAAUUAUUUAAUUCCUAAUAUGGAAUAUUAUAUUUUUAUAAUAAUAAUAAAAAUAUAAAUACUGAAUAUCUAAAUAUUAUUAUUACUUUUUUUUUAAUAAUAAUAAUAUGGUAAUAGAACAUUUAAUGAUAAUAUAUAUUAGUUAUUAAUUAAUAUAUGUAUUAAUUAAAUAGAGAAUGCUGACAUGAGUAACGAAAAAAAGGUAUAAACCUUUUCACCUAAAACAUAAGGUUUAACUAUAAAAGUACGGCCCCUAAUUAAAUUAUAUAAGAAUAUAAAUAUAUUUAAGAUGGGAUAAUCUAUAUUAAUAAAAAUUUAUCUUAAAAUAUAUAUAUUAUUAAUAAUUAUAUUAAUUAAUUAAUAAUAUAUAUAAUUAUAUUAUAUAUUAUAUUUUUAUAUAUAAUAUAUAUAAUAUAAACUAAUAAAGAUCAGGAAAUAAUUAAUGUAUACCGUAAUGUAGACCGACUCAGGUAUGUAAGUAGAGAAUAUGAAGGUGAAUUAGAUAAUUAAAGGGAAGGAACUCGGCAAAGAUAGCUCAUAAGUUAGUCAAUAAAGAGUAAUAAGAACAAAGUUGUACAACUGUUUACUAAAAACACCGCACUUUGCAGAAACGAUAAGUUUAAGUAUAAGGUGUGAACUCUGCUCCAUGCUUAAUAUAUAAAUAAAAUUAUUUAACGAUAAUUUUAUUAAAUUUAGGUAAAUAGCAGCCUUAUUAUGAGGGUUAUAAUGUAGCGAAAUUCCUUGGCCUAUAAUUGAGGUCCCGCAUGAAUGACGUAAUGAUACAACAACUGUCUCCCCUUUAAGCUAAGUGAAAUUGAAAUCGUAGUGAAGAUGCUAUGUACCUUCAGCAAGACGGAAAGACCCUAUGCAGCUUUACUGUAAUUAGAUAGAUCGAAUUAUUGUUUAUUAUAUUCAGCAUAUUAAGUAAUCCUAUUAUUAGGUAAUCGUUUAGAUAUUAAUGAGAUACUUAUUAUAAUAUAAUGAUAAUUCUAAUCUUAUAAAUAAUUAUUAUUAUUAUUAUUAUUAAUAAUAAUAAUAUGCUUUCAAGCAUAGUGAUAAAACAUAUUUAUAUGAUAAUCACUUUACUUAAUAGAUAUAAUUCUUAAGUAAUAUAUAAUAUAUAUUAUAUAUAUAUUAUAUAUAAUAUAAGAGACAAUCUCUAAUUGGUAGUUUUGAUGGGGCGUCAUUAUCAGCAAAAGUAUCUGAAUAAGUCCAUAAAUAAAUAUAUAAAAUUAUUGAAUAAAAAAAUAAUAUAUAUUAUAUAUAUUAAUUAUAAAUUGAAAUAUGUUUAUAUAAAUUUAUAUUUAUUGAAUAUAUUUUAGUAAUAGAUAAAAAUAUGUACAGUAAAAUUGUAAGGAAAACAAUAAUAACUUUCUCCUCUCUCGGUGGGGGUUCACACCUAUUUUUAAUAGGUGUGAACCCCUCUUCGGGGUUCCGGUUCCCUUUCGGGUCCCGGAACUUAAAUAAAAAUGGAAAGAAUUAAAUUAAUAUAAUGGUAUAACUGUGCGAUAAUUGUAACACAAACGAGUGAAACAAGUACGUAAGUAUGGCAUAAUGAACAAAUAACACUGAUUGUAAAGGUUAUUGAUAACGAAUAAAAGUUACGCUAGGGAUAACAGGGUAAUAUAACGAAAGAGUAGAUAUUGUAAGUUAUGUUUGCCACCUCGAUGUCGACUCAACAUUUCCUCUUGGUUGUAAAAGCUAAGAAGGGUUUGACUGUUCGUCAAUUAAAAUGUUACGUGAGUUGGGUUAAAUACGAUGUGAAUCAGUAUGGUUCCUAUCUGCUGAAGGAAAUAUUAUCAAAUUAAAUCUCAUUAUUAGUACGCAAGGACCAUAAUGAAUCAACCCAUGGUGUAUCUAUUGAUAAUAAUAUAAUAUAUUUAAUAAAAAUAAUACUUUAUUAAUAUAUUAUCUAUAUUAGUUUAUAUUUUAAUUAUAUAUUAUCAUAGUAGAUAAGCUAAGUUGAUAAUAAAUAAAUAUUGAAUACAUAUUAAAUAUGAAGUUGUUUUAAUAAGAUAAUUAAUCUGAUAAUUUUAUACUAAAAUUAAUAAUUAUAGGUUUUAUAUAUUAUUUAUAAAUAUAAUAUAAUAAUUAUUAUUAUUAAUAAAAAAAAUAUUAAUUAUAAUAUUAAUAAAAUACUAAUUUAUCAGUUAUCUAUAUAAUAUCUAAUCUAUUAUUCUAUAUACU